UUAAACCAACUUAAAGCUUGUCCACUUUUUGUGGUUUGAUGUGUCAGUAAAGCUCAGUAAAUGUCAGUCUCUGGUUUAAUAGAAGAAAAUCCUGUUUACUGUACAGUAGUUUGUUGAGAACAACAAGCAGAAUGAAAUGACAAACCACCACAAAGACGUGUGUAGAGUUAGGAGUUCUAUUGACUAAUAGAGAUCAGCUGAGGGUGAAAGCUGGAAAGUCUGGACUGGGAUUGUUAGAUGAAGUGGUGGCUCCUGGAUGUGUGGUGGAGGUGGAUGUGAUUUUAACCUUCAUCUCACCUUCUUUACUACUUUAUUCGUGUUCCUGAAGGAACGAGAAAAACGUUUUGGAUUUGCUUCGAGUCGUUAGAUGUAAAAACUGAUUGGUUAAUGUUUACUGUACAUGUCAUAUAAAUUAAUGUAUCAAUGAAUACAGGUUUUAGUUUGUAGGAUGUAAAUGUAGGAAUUUAUCCCUCAUGACAAUGGCAGAGGUGAUGGUGGUGAAGAAAAAACCCUGAGAUGAAGGAAGAAAACUGGAGAGGAAGCAGUUAAUUUUACAGCUAGUCCCUGAGUUAUGAAGGAGAUCCGUUCUGAUCACUCGAUCGAUGGCUCUAGGAUGGAAGGGGUUAAGUUACGUUGUAGGAAGAAGGUGAGACAUCUUAUAAGACGGCAAGGCGGGAGACCAACACAUCGUAACACCCACGCUGCUACGGUUGCCUGCGUGUGAAAUUUUAAAUAUUUUACAAUUUUGUUGUAUCUCUAUUGUCCAUCGUAAGAUAGAAAUCUUAGAAGUCGAGCUAUGAGAACUUGAGGAGUAUCUGUAUAUGUGUUUCUACCAGGGAAUUUGAGUAUGCUC